GAUGAACGCUGGCGGCGUGCCUAACACAUGCAAGUCGAGCGAACAGACGAGAGUGCUUGCACUCUCUGACGUUAGCGGCGGACGGGUGAGUAACAAGUGGGUAACCUACCUAUAAGACUGGUAUAACUUCGGGAAACCGGACCUAAUACCGGAUAAUAUUUAGCUUCGCAUGACGCAAUAGUGAAAGACGGUUCUGCUGUCACUUAUAGAUGGACCCGGGGUGUAUUAGCUAGUUGGUGAGGUAACGGCUCACCAAGGCAACGAUACAUAGCCGACCUGAGAGGGUGAUCGGCCACACUGGGACUGAGACACGGCCCAGACUCCUACGGGAGGCAGCAGUAGGGAAUCUUCCGCAAUGGACGAAAGUCUGACGGAGCAAUGCCGCGUGAGUGAAGAAGGUGUUCGGAUCGUAAAACUCUGUUGUAAGGGAAGAACAAGUACGUUAGUAACUGAACGUAUCUUGACGGUACCUUACCAGAAAGCCACGGCUAACUACGUG
rnacentral:rRNA from 1 species